CGAAUGGAUUGAGAGCUUGCUCUUAUGAAGUUAGCGGCGGACGGGUGAGUAACACGUGGGUAACCUGCCCAUAAGACUGGGAUAACUCCGGGAAACCGGGGCUAAUACCGGAUAACAUUUUGAACUGCAUGGUUCGAAAUUGAAAGGCGGCUUCGGCUGUCACUUAUGGAUGGACCCGCGUCGCAUUAGCUAGUUGGUGAGGUAACGGCUCACCAAGGCAACGAUGCGUAGCCGACCUGAGAGGGUGAUCGGCCACACUGGGACUGAGACACGGCCCAGACUCCUACGGGAGGCAGCAGUAGGGAAUCUUCCGCAAUGGACGAAAGUCUGACGGAGCAACGCCGCGUGAGUGAUGAAGGCUUUCGGGUCGUAAAACUCUGUUGUUAGGGAAGAACAAGUGCUAGUUGAAUAAGCUGGCACCUUGACGGUACCCUAACCAGAAAGCCACGGCUAACUACGUGCCAGCAGCCGCGGUAAUACGUAGGUGGCAAGCGUUAUCCGGAAUUAUUGGGCGUAAAGCGCGCGCAGGUGGUUUCUUAGUCUGAUGUGAAAGCCCACGGCUCACGUGGAGGGUCAUUGGAACUGGAGACUUGAGUGCAGAAGAGAAAGUGGAAUUCCAUGUGUAGCGUGAAUGCGUAGAGAUAUGGAGGAACACCAGUGGCGAAGGCGACUUUCUGGUCUGUAACUGACACUGAGGCGCGAAAGCGGUGGGGAGCAAACAGGAGUAGAUACCCUGG
rnacentral:rRNA from 1 species